rnacentral:siRNA from 1 species
AGACGUUGGGCGAUAUAACCUU